UACGUAGGGUGCAAGCGUUAAUCGGAAUUACUGGGCGUAAAGCGUGCGCAGGCGGUUUUGUAAGACAGAGGUGAAAUCCCCGGGCUUAACCUGGGAACUGCCUUUGUGACUGCAUCGCUGGAGUGCGGCAGAGGGGGAUGGAAUUCCGCGUGUAGCAGUGAAAUGCGUAGAUAUGCGGAGGAACACCGAUGGCGAAGGCAAUCCCCUGGGCCUGCACUGACGCUCAUGCACGAAAGCGUGGGGAGCAAACAGG
rnacentral:rRNA from 1 species